rnacentral:rRNA from 1 species
CCUACGGGUGGCAGCAGUGGGGAAUAUUGCACAAUGGGGGAAACUCUGAUGCAGCGAUGCCGCGUGAGUGAAGACGUAUUUCUUUAUGUAAAGCUCUUUUAGUAGGGAAGAAAAUGCCGGUACCUGAGUAAGUAGCCCCGGAUAACUACGUUCCAGCAGCCGCGGGAAUACGUAGGCGGCAAGGGUUAUCCGGAUUUAUCGGGUGUAAUGGGAGCGUAGGCGGCAGUACAAGUCUGGAGUGAAAGGCGGGGGCUCAACCCCCGGACUGCUCUGGAUACUGUACGGCUGGAGUGCAGGAGAGGUAAGUGGAAUUCAUGGUGUAGCGGUGAAAUGCGUAGAUAUUAGACAGAACACCGAUGGCGAAGGCAGCUUAC